GAUGAACGCUGGCGGCGUGCCUAAUACAUGCAAGUCGAGCGAACGGACGAGAAGCUUGCUUCUCUGAUGUUAGCGGCGGACGGGUGAGUAACACGUGGAUAACCUACCUAUAAGACUGGGAUAACUUCGGGGAACCGGAGCUAAUACUGGAUGAUAUUUUGAACCGCAUGGUUCAAAAGUGAAAGACGGUCUUGCUGUCACUUAUAGAUGGAUCCGCGCUGCAUUAGCUAGUUGGUAAGGUAACGGCUUACCAAGGCAACGAUGCAUAGCCGACCUGAGAGGGUGAUCGGCCACACUGGAACUGAGACACGGUCCAGACUCCUACGGGAGGCAGCAGUAGGGAAUCUUCCGCAAUGGGCGAAAGCCUGACGGAGCAACGCCGCGUGAGUGAUGAAGGUCUUCGGAUCGUAAAACUCUGUUAUUAGGGAAGAACAUAUGUGUAAGUAACUGUGCACAUCUUGACGGUACCUAAUCAGAAAGCCACGGCUAACUACGUG
rnacentral:rRNA from 1 species